GACGAACGCUGGCGGCGUGCCUAACACAUGCAAGUCGAACGAUAACGAGCGUGCUUGCUUUCUCAAGCGAGUGGCGAACGGGUGAGUAACGCGUGAGGAACCUGCCUCAGAGAGGGGGACAACAGUAGGAAACGUCUGCUAAUACCGCAUAAGCGCACGACCCGGCAUCGGGGAGAGGGAAAAGGAGCAAUGCGCGUUGAGAUGGCCUCGCGUCCGAUUAGCUAGUUGGUGAGGUAACGGCCCACCAAGGCGACGUUCGGUAGGCGGACAGGGAGGUGGAGCGGCGACAGUGGGACUGAGACACGGCCCAGACUCCUACGGAAGGGAGCAGUGGGUGAUAUUGCACGAUGGGGGAAACCCUGAUGCAGCGACGCCGCGUGGAGGAAGAUGGUCGUCGGAUUGUGAACUCCUGUUGUACAGGAAGAUAAUGACGGUACUGAACAAGGAAGCAACGGCUAACUACGUG
rnacentral:rRNA from 1 species